CUUUUUAGGAAACUCUGAAACCAAUUACAUUUAUUGAAAAAUCCCCGAUUAAAGCAUGAACCAAGUAAAAUACACAAUUGACAUCAGGUGACUAUAAUCCUUUUUUCAUAUUUAGCCAAUUAGAAUUAUUCUUAAUACUGUAACAUAGGCUUUGUGUCUUUCCUCCACAUUCUCCUUUUUCAGAGCAUUCCUUGUACAUGCUGAAUCUAGGCUUACCUGAUGACAUUACUAAUAUAACAUACUGAGAUAUCUGAUAGGGUUGGAGUGACUUACCAGAUUCCAGUUUGCCACACUUAGAAUGUUCCAAAGCUUAGAUCAUGGCACACAGGCCUUUUUACUUGUUCCAGACUAAAAAAUCUCUUUGUAUAUGUGUGUAUACACGUGUAUGCCCAUGUAUUCUUUUAUUGCAAAGAAAGAGGGUAGAACAAUUCUGAAUGUAUAUGUAGUGUUUAACAGUCUUCAGUCAUCAUACUAUCUUUUACAAUGUAAAAGAGCCUUGAGCAGCACUAAGCAACAUAAGACCAGGUUCUAUUAUUUCUUGAUAUGGGUCUAAGGAAUCCUGGUUCCUUCCUUCUUUUUUAAC
rnacentral:lncRNA from 1 species